GUUGGGAACGUUGUUGGGGCUCGGGGGGCCGCUCGGAGCGCUGGGAGCGUUUUGGGGGCUUCUCGGAACGCUGGGGCCGUUUGGGGGGCCGUUGGGAACGUUGGGGCCGUUGGCGGCGGCGGGCGGCGUGUCGUGAGGCGAAACGCGGCGGUUUCGGCAGCCGCCGCCCGCCGUGACUCAGGCCGCGGGGCCGGGCCGGGCCGGGACGAGGCCCUGGGCGCGGGGCGGGGGCGGGGGCGCUGGGCCGGGUCGCCGCUGCGAGCAGCGGGGGAGUCGGGGGCAGCUUGGCACGGCGCUUUAGGGAGGGCUUUGAACGCAGAAACGUGAGAAAGAAACAGAAAAUGCCUCGGAUAUUUCAAGGAGUUGUUCAGAACGAGAGGGUUUCUUAGUGCUCUAGCACUGUUUGUGGGCGCUAAAAGCGAAGGGAAGACACCGAAGUCUCAGGACAGAAGCCUUGCGGGAUCCCUUUUAUGUUACGGUAACAUGGAAGGAAAAAGAGGAAAGCUUGCUCAUAGAAAGCAGAGUCACUGUUAAGUGUGCAUUUUGGUCUAAGUCUGAUACUCGUCUGGUUCUUGUGCUUUCCUUGCUCUGGGCUCGGAUGCAGUUCUGAACCGUGUCGUACAAAAUACUGUUUCAGUGCCCUCGUGCAGCAUGAUCAAUCAGAAUGACUGUAGAUGAAUGCUGUAAUACGAGGUUAUUUCCCUGUCAGCACAAUGUGCAAGUUUUUCUUCCAUGUAUUAUUUUCCCAGGAGUUCCUUAAGUGAACAGUACUUCCUUCUGAGAUACCCGCAGUAAGCCUUUUUUAGCACUUCACUGUAAUGGUGUUAUUAGCAAAGUUCCUUUAGUUUGUGCAGCUGCAUGACUCAUUCCUGACUCUAGGCCUCGCAAAGUUGUAAUUAAGGGACUAGAUGUACUCAACUUCUAUUAAAAAAAAAAGGUGCCUUAGUAACUGAAGUCUUAUUUUUUUCAUCAUGUUUGUUAAGUUCCAUUAAACCUUAUAAGAUGGCACAGCUCAAUAAACAAAAUUUUCAGCAUA